UUCCUGACAGAGACCAGCAGGUUUUGGGUUGAAUAUACAAACAGGCUGUUGUUAUGGAGACGUGUAAUAGUUUCUGAAACUCAACUCCAAGAAUUAACUAAACCAAAAGUGUGAUGGUUGGCUUCUUAUCUGUCUCCCUCUUUAUUCUUCUCACUGUACUGGGGUAAAUUUAAAAUAGUUCCAGAUUGUGGCUCUGACUGUGUGUUUGUAUUUUACAGUGAAGCACAAUGUAUGAAUUUUACGUCCAUAACCUGACUUGUGCUGGACAACAACCAUCUGUCUCUUUUGUGUUGAAAGCUUUUUGUUGUCCGCAUGGGGAUAGAUGACUAAGGGCAGGAAGAAGUUCCCAGAACCUGAGAGCAAAAUGUUAACUUUGUUUUUUCCACAGUUGCUUUUCUUCUGUUAUAAGUAUUCUUUAAGGGUGCCCUUUUUUAGAAUUAUUGCGUAUAAUGUUUAUUAGUAAUUCGACCCAUUCUAAUGAACAAUUCAAUUCAAUUCAAUUUUGUUUGUAUAGCGCUUUUAACAAUGGACAUUGUCACAAAGCAGCUUUACAGAAAUAAAUGGAUUCAAAAAAUAUAUUGUAAAUAUGUGAAUUUAUCGCUAAUGAGCAAUGAACAAAUCCCUAAUGAACAGUGCCAGUAACUCUUGUAUGGUGUUUAUAUCAUCAGUACACAAUCUGUUUAACUCUUCACCCACAUAUUGUGUGUAAUAAAUCCCCCUUUUCACCAUUAGACUCAUUUUGAAGGGUUUGUGGAAAGUCUCGGGUUGACUUCAUGUUGAAUGUGAGAAGGUGAUGUGUUGUGUACACUGCUGUUCGCAGUACAAUCGGUGUGGCACAGACCAGGCAACAGUAACGACUGAACUGCUAUCCACUGCACAUAUAGUCUCAUGAAAGAAAGUAGGAGAGGAAGAGGACAAAUAUCCAGACUAGCAUGACAUUGUCGUCAUUAAAAGUGAGCGUGAGAGAGGAGACAGAGAAACAGCCUGUUUGACUGGUAGGAUGUGGCCCCCCUCCUUCUCUGUGCCCCAGGGGAACAGCGAGCCCCCACCAGUCUGAAGCCGGAAGGUUUGCUUCAGUGUUGUGGGUGAGAUCCUUUAAUACGUCUUUCUGUUAUAAGAGCAAAUGUACUGCAAUGUGAGAACAUUAUAAAAGUGUUCCUGUAACCCCUGUAACGUUAGAAUGACUUUAUAGUCAUGUUGCUUAUAGAAUGUUGUUGUUAUGUGUUUAGGCAGUACACUUUCAUUUUAAUGGUGACGUUAGUGGUGUGUGUGUGUGUGUGUGUGUGUGUGUGUGUGUGUGUGUGUGUGUUGGGGUACAUGCAGACUGGUAUAAUGGCCUGAGGACAAACUCAAAAUGGCUCAGAUACUGAUCUUAAUUUCACAGUGCUGAGUAGGCUCUAACACACACACACACACACAUUUUUGGGGAAUAGAAGAUAAUUACCCGAACAGCUGCUGCUAGUCUCAAUCCUCUAAAAUCUUUUCCCUCCUAUCUUGUUUCUUUUGUCCUGUCCUUUCCCCCUCUUCCUGUGCAUUCAGAAAAACACACCCUACAUUUUUAUGGACAUUUUGUCUUACACACCUAUUUUAUAUCUACUACAUUCAGGUAAAAAUAGGUUUCUAAGCAUGCAUUGUUCAAAAUAAAUGUUACCCAGACAUUUUUGUAAACAUCUUCUUGGCUCUCAGGGAUUUUACCUGCAGAGACAGAGAAAGUGCAGGAAGCCUGGAACAACCUAGUGACUGCUUUCCUCACAACUACACAACUGUGUAUCUAUGAGAAUUCAUUUAUACAGUUUUAAACACAAAGACAGAUUAGGAUUUGAUUCAUUUAUUUAAAAAAGAUUGCAAUACUUAGAAACUUUCCAUUUCAUUAUUUUUAAACUUAUUUUCUCUUUACAGAAUUUCUUUAGUUGUGCAUAAGAUUUUUCUACAGUACUAGAAGUUCAUUCAUGUUCAGUCAGCACUUUAUCCCGGUCCGGGCUGCGGUGGAUCCGGAGCCAAUCCCGGGAACGCUGGGCACAAGCUGAGAGACACUCACACGGACACCAGGGAAACAUGUGACCCUCCACACAGACACUACUGUAUAUUAAUGAUCUGAUUAUUAUUUGUUCUUCUAAUAGAUAUUCCAUAGGAGUAAAGAGAAAGAGCAUGUAAUGCCUAUCCACUACGCUCCUGACAUUUCACAGCUGAACGCAGUAAAAACUCUCCUGAGAAACAUUUAAUACUGUGUUGUAUUUGAUACACUUUCAGGCUGCAGUCAU